GAGCUGGAGUCGGUUCCAAGGGUUGGGCUGUUCGCCCAUUAAAGCGGUACGUGAGCUGGGUUCAGAACGUCGUGAGACAGUUUGGUCCAUAUCUGCUAUAGGCGUAGGAAAUUUGAGAGGCUCUGUUCCUAGUACGAGAGGACCGGAAUGGACACACCGCUGGUGUACCAGUUAUCCUGCCAAGGGUAAACGCUGGGUAGCUAUGUGUGGAAGGGAUAACCGCUGAAAGCAUCUAAGUGGGAAACCCCCCUCAAGAUUAGAUUUCCCAUCCCUAUAUGGGAGUAAGAUCCCUUGAAGAUUACAAGGUUGAUAGGCUGGGCGUAGAAGCGCAGAAAUGUGUGAAGCAGACCAGUACUAAUCGAUCGAGGUCUUGAUUAA
rnacentral:rRNA from 2 species